AGAGAGAUCACUGUAUACAGGGUUGUAUGCGAGAUAAUUGGGCAAACCUUGAGCACGACUUCAUUUUACACUUUGGCCCCGAUAAAAUACGUUGAUAACAUGGUGGUGUUAUUUGCUUGUACGAUGUUUAUGUACUUUGAGAAAAGGUUGUGCGGUGUUGUUAAGAGGAUUCAUUUUAGUCCAUUAUACUCGGAAACGUCCACAGAAUCGUCAUGUUUGGACGCUUCAUAACUAUAACAGUUAUCUACGUUGCGAUCAGUUUGGACUUGGAGACAUUGCCAC